rnacentral:rRNA from 1 species
AUUGAACGCUGGCGGAAUGCUUUACACAUGCAAGUCGAGCGGCAGCACGGGGGCAACCCUGGUGGCGAGCGGCGAACGGGUGAGUAACACAUCGGAACGUACCCUGUCGUGGGGGGAUAACGAGUCGAAAGAUUCGCUAAUACCGCAUACGACCCGAGGGUGAAAGCGGGGGAUCGCAAGACCUCGCGCGACUGGAGCGGCCGAUGGCGGAUUAGCUAGUUGGUGGGGUAAAGGCCCACCAAGGCGACGAUCCGUAGCGGGUCUGAGAGGACGGCCCGCCACACUGGGACUGAGACACGGCCCAGACUCCUACGGGAGGCAGCAGUGGGGAAUUUUGGACAAUGGGGGCGAACCCUGAUCCAGCCAUUCCGCGUGAGUGAAGAAGGCC